GGAAAUCUCACCAGGCCCGGACAAUGGAAGGAUUGACAGAUUGAUACCUCUUUCUUGAUUCUGUGGGUGGUGGUGCAUGGCCAUUCUUAGUUGGUGGAGUGAUUUGUCUGGUUAAUUCCGUUAACGAACGAGACCUCGACCUGCUAAAUAGAGCGACGAAUCCUUGUGAUUCGUUGGUACUUCUUAGAGGGACUGUUGGUGCCUAGCCAAUGGAAGUUCGAGGCAAUAA
rnacentral:rRNA from 1 species